rnacentral:rRNA from 1 species
UACGGAGGGUCCAAGCGUUAUCCGGAAUCAUUGGGUUUAAAGGGUCCGUAGGCGGUUUUGUAAGUCAGUGGUGAAAGCCCAUCGCUCAACGGUGGAACGGCCAUUGAUACUGCAAGACUUGAAUUAUUAGGAAGUAACUAGAAUAUGUAGUGUAGCGGUGAAAUGCUUAGAGAUUACAUGGAAUACCAAAUUGCGAAGGCAGGUUACUACUAAUGGAUUGACGCUGAUGGACGAAAGCGUGGGGAGCGAACAGG